CUUCCUUCCUGGCCUGAAGACUGCAGUCCUCCCUUGGCAUCUGCUCCAGUCCCCAAGGUCUCUUACACAUUCUCACUAGGUGCCUGCCCCCCAGAGGCUUCCAAAUUUACAAUCCCUGCCUCAGCACAGGGGACGACGUGAAACCAAAAGCCCGGCGGCGCCCAUUGGCUCCGAGGAGGCCUGAGUUAGUCACGAGCCAGCUCUGAGCAGGGUGCGGAGGGUCACUGUCACAGUUCUCAGACCCUCCUAACUGCAGAGUGGAGCUCGCCGGCACAGAGCCCACUUGGAGAAGCAGCCAGGGGCCCGAGGAGGGUAAAGAGGGACGGUGAGGACCACUUCGCCUCUUAGACAUGGCCGGGCCCCAGGGCAGCCAGAACCCGCAGGGACUUGGGAACCUUCCCGGUGAGUGCCAGCUACAGGGACAUGCAGGCUCACUUUAAACAGUGACUUCUCCGAGCCAGGUGCUGCAGCCCAUGCCUGGAAUCUUGCUGACUUGGGAAGCUGAGGCAGGAGGAUCGCAGAUUUGAGACCUCAAGAUUCGUCUGUUCCUGAAUAAAUAAAAGCCAGCUCCUCUCUGCUCCUGGGGCGGCUGCAGGGUUCACUGGUGUCGAUGGCAUGGGCUAGCCGGCGGCUUUGGGAGCCCCUCCAGGUCAGCGUGGAAGGGGACCAAGGGGAUGGGAGAGGCAGCCCAGCCGGGGCGGAUUCCACCGCUAACGGCCUCACGCUCAGCCAUCCAUCCAGGGCUGCAGGCUGACCGGAGCCAGAGCUGGCGCUUCACUCCUACAGGGGUCUCGGCUGGUGUCUGCCCAGAGCAGGAGAGACGGGGAGGCCAGGGGAGGCCAGGGGAGCCGGGGUCCCUCUUAGAGUGAGACAGGAGCUGGCGCUUCCACUUCCCACCGGGAGCCCAACUGCCUGCUCCGUAGGUGCCCAAGGACUGAAAGCCAGCGCGUUAUGAUCCCAACCAGCACCUGCCCACAGAGCUCUCUGCAAGGGUGUCAGUGCUCCAUAUCCGCAGCCCAGGAGCCACCAGCGGCCAGUGCGCCCGGGCAGUGGGCAGGGCUCUGCACUCACGGUGGUAACUUAAAUUUAAGCCCAGCGCUGCCUGACCACUCCUUCUACUGUCUUCCUCGCCCUCCCUGGAGACAGUGGAUCACCGUGACCUUCCUCCCCAGAAGGCAGGCAAAGGGAAGAGCUACUUCUUAGCCAAAGCUCAAGAAGGCCGAUACUUCUAUUUUAAAUUGACUUUUUUAUUCUUUUUAGGUGCAUAUGACAGCAGAGUGUAUGUUGACAUAAACACCUGGAGUGUGACCUCUAACUAGCAUCCCGUCCUCGUGGUGUGCCCGAUGUGGGGUUUCCCGGGUGUGGAGUCAGCCAACUUUUUGUCUCCCCAGCCUUCUCUUAUCAGGGUCAGCUGGACAAUGCCCACUGUCUGCUCUGCAAAAACCCCCCUGUGGUCCAGAGGGGACAGAUGAACCAAGGCAACCAGCUAACGGGACAUCACAACUGGAGCAUCAUUAUCCUGCAGCCCAGCAGGGACCACAGGGAGGGGAGGGCUCUUUCCCAGAGGGAAUGCCUGCUGAGGUGACAUGGAGCAGGGACAGAAACACCGAUAGAGAGGUAGUCAGGGCCAGGCAGGGAGCAGUUCGAGCCUGGUGCUCGGGGCUUACAGUGGACACACGGGGGUGGGGGGGACCCAGGACUCUGUAAGUAACAGGACUGUGGCCAGGGUUAGGUGGUGGGAAAGGGUUAGGUGGUGGGAGCCUGGCAUGGGAGAGGGACGGUAAGUGUCCCCUGGCUGUGUAUAGGGAGGGGCUUGUGGCAGGGAGAUGGGGUGGGGAUGAGGACAUCUACGGAGAGACCACAGAGGCUGGACCAGGACAUGACCAAGACCCUGAGCAGCCUGCCGGGGUUACUGAGGAGAGGGGGGAUUGGCCUGGGGGUGCUGAGGAGGCAGAGGUCAAGGUCGACACUUGAGUACCUAGGGGGUGGCAAGGCUGGUGCUUUAGAGAAGAGAAGGCGGCGCAGGCAUCCAUGGAGGGAGAGGAGGGAAGGAGGGAGGUGUACCCUGGGGAGCCCAGAGGCAAGGUCCCCAGCAGCAAAGCUUCCACCAGCCUGUCCCGCAGCGGCUCCUCCACAAGGCGGGCGUUUGCCCUCGUGGCCGGGCACGGCAGCUAGCCACCCAACACACAGGCCCAGAGCAGCCCCUCUGUACUAAGGCACAUGGCACGGUGCCCUGAGACAGCUGGCGCUGGCUUGGCAGGCCCGCCUCAUGGCCCUACUGUCUGCUGGAGUGGUGGCAAUUAAACUGCUAGUUGCAGCCAAGUGUCACGGGUGUUAGGCCAACAGCUCCCUGGGUGGGGCCUGGCCAGGCCUGCAGCAAGGCCUUCUUCCUCUAAGAGGGGUGGGAAGGUGGGUGGGGGAGCUCCUCCUGCGUCCGCGUCCCUCCUGGCUCAGACGCCCAAGGCAGAGUAUUUCAGGGCAGUCCUUUGGUGGCAAGGGCCACUUACCUACAACAGCCUGGCAGGGGGUGUGUACCAGGGUCCUGUGGCUGCCAUAACCAAGCACCACAAACUGGGGGCUAAUUGUUCUGGAGGCCAGAAGUGCCAAUCCAAGGUGUGGCAGGGCCAGGCUCCUGGGAAGGCUCUGCGGUGGGGGCGGGGAGGUCUUCCUGCCUGAGGCUGCGUACUCCCACCUCUCCUGGCUCCCACGCGCUUCUCCUCUGCUUUCUUAUGAGGACCCUGCCACUGGAAUCCGGCCACCCCUAACCCAGGCGACCUGUCUUAAGUUCUUUCCACCUGAAAAGGUCUGUUUCCAGUCAAGUCACAUUCUGGACCUGACCUUUGGGCAGUGACAUCACUCAGUGCAAUACUGCGGGCCGAUGGUGGGGCUGGGCAGGAGGCCAAAGAGCCCAGAGGUGGGGGAGAGAGGAAUGAGCAGACCA